rnacentral:rRNA from 1 species
CAGCACCUCAAGUGGUCAAGAUGAUUAUUGGGCCUAAAGCAUCCGUAGCCGGCGCUGUAAGUUUUCGGUUAAAUCUGUACGCUCAACGUACAGGCUGCCGGGAAUACUGCAGCGCUAGGGAGUGGGAGAGGUAGACGGUACUCGGUAGGAAGGGGUAAAAUCCUUUGAUCUAUUGAUGACCACCUGUGGCGAAGGCGGUCUACCAGAACACGUCCGACGGUGAGGGAUGAAAGCUGGGGGAGCAAACCGGAUUAGAUACCCGAGUAGUCC